rnacentral:rRNA from 1 species
UACAGAGGGGGCAAGCGUUAUUCGGAAUCAUUGGGCGUAAAGGGCGCGUAGGCGGCUUGGCAAGUGGAUGGUGAAAUCCCUCGGCUUAACCGAGGAACUGCCGUCCAAACUGCUUCGCUUGAGACCGGGAGAGGUGAGUGGAAUUCCCAGUGUAGCGGUGAAAUGCGUAGAUAUCAGGAGGAACACCAGCGGCGAAGGCGGCGCUCUGGGCCGGAACUGACGCUGAGGAGCGAAAGCGUGGGUAGCAAGCAGG